GACGAACGCUGGCGGCGUGCUUAACACAUGCAAGUCGAACGGAAAGGCCCUGCUUUUGUGGGGUGCUCGAGUGGCGAACGGGUGAGUAACACGUGAGUAACCUGCCCUUGGCUUUGGGAUAACUUCAGGAAACUGGGGCUAAUACCGGAUAGGAGCUCCUGCUGCAGGGGGGGGGUUGGAAAGUUUCGGCGGGUGGGGAUGGACUCGCGGCUUAUCAGCUUGUUGGUGGGGUAGUGGCUUACCAAGGCUUUGACGGGUAGCCGGCCUGAGAGGGUGACCGGCCACAUUGGGACUGAGACACGGCCCAGACUCCUACGGGAGGCAGCAGUGGGGAAUAUUGCACAAUGGGCGGAAGCCUGAUGCAGCAACGCCGCGUGCGGGAUGACGGCCUUCGGGUUGUAAACCGCUUUCGCCUGUGACGAAGCGUGAGUGACGGCAAUGGGUAAAGAAGCACCGGCUAACUACGUG
rnacentral:rRNA from 1 species